GACGCGGUGGCCUAAUGGUUAGUGCGUUGGACUCAGGAUCGAGCGAUCCGGGCUCGAACGCUGGCCUGGGUCA
rnacentral:tRNA from 1 species